GCUUUUGUGGUGUUAUGAUAGCACACUGGAUUUGUAUUCGAGAGGUUCUGGUUCGAAUCCCAGCGAGAGCA
rnacentral:tRNA from 1 species